rnacentral:lncRNA from 1 species
GGUAAUCCAUGAGAUUUUUGAUAAAAAGAUGCUAUAUUUGAGGCCCUGUAAGAGACUAAAUGGAUUUUAAAGCCAAGAAAUCAAGAUAAAGAGACUUUCAAGAAGGUUGAAAUGAAAUAAUGUGCAGUGGUGGUGGAGGCUUCACAGCUUUGCCAAUGUCGUUCAGAACUGUUCUAUCCAUACCACCAGAUGUCUCAUCUUUUUAAUUUCAUGGCUGUGAUUAUUAUUGAUGCUACACAUGCAUAUACAGAAAGAAGGACAACUGGAAAACAUAAUUGGUUUGAUUAUUUGUUCCAAGGAACAUUUAUUAGACAGAUGACAUGUAUUUGGCCUCAACAUACAAGGCAAACACUAGUUAUUUAUGAAGUCACCAAGGUCCAUGUGUGGCCCAGCAAUGGAACCUCUUCAUCUCCACUAUUUUUGGUGAACCUUUUUUUGUACUUCCUUAGGCUUUUGUUAACACUAUUUUGUUACUUACAUAUAAGAAAAUGUAUAAUUAUACAUUUAUAUCCUUCCAUCAUUCUUUCAUAGGAAUGCUGACUUUCUGCCUCCUCCUCUCAGAUGAGUGAUUAUGUCUGUCAUCUUCAUAAUUUCAUUUAAUCUGUAUUGUAUUUCCUCAUUCUGAAGUCCUUCCCAUCUCACUCUCAUGACAACAGUUUUCUUCUUCUAAUUUUCUUAGCUUUCUUAAAGCCAAAAGGUCUAAAAUUAAAUGGCUGAAUGCAUUAGUACUUGGCUGCAUAUCUUAAUUUGUGCUUAAUAUAUAUGCAUAAACAUAUAACUCAUAAAGUUUCUCAUAAUUCCAUAUAUAUCAUACUAUUUUUUAGUUUUCAUAUAUAUAUAUAUAUAUAUAUAAAUUUACACAUAUAUACAUAAACACAUGCUUUUAUGCUCUUGGCCUUACUUGGCUUUUUUCUUCUUGCUUUUCAAAAAAUUAGUGUCUUAUUCAUUCAUUCUUUCACUUAAAAUUUGGAUUUCAUGAACAAACUACUCUAUGUCUCUUUUAGACAGUGAAAAAACUGAGAAUGAAUUAGAAAUUCACAUUCUUUUUCCCAUAAACCUAUUUACUGUCAAAUACUAAAAAUGAAAAUCUAGUUUAUUAAUUAAGUGUUUUCAUACACCUUUGAAAUAAAAUGUAGUGUGAUUUCA